UUGUAAUUGAUCUGUGUGUAUGUGUAUGCUGCAACUGCACAGUAAUUUCCAGGUUGGGAUGAAUAAAGUACUUCUAUCUUAUUCAUUACAGUGUUU